rnacentral:rRNA from 1 species
AUGGGAACGCGAAGAACCUUACCUAGACUUGACAUCUCCUGAAUAGUGUAGAGAUACAUGAAGCCCUUCGGGGCAGGAAGACAGGUGGUGCAUGGUUGUCGUCAGCUCGUGUCGUGAGAUGUUGGGUUAAGUCCCGCAACGAGCGCAACCCUUAUUACUAGUUGCUACCAUUAAGUUGAGCACUCUAGUGAGACUGCCCGGGUUAACCGGGAGGAAGGCAGGGAUGACGUCAAAUCAUCAUGCCCCUUAUGUCUAGGGCAACACACGUGCUACAAUGGUGAGUACAGAUAGAUGCGAUACCGCAAGGUGGAGCCAAACUCUAAAACUCAUCCCAGUUCGGAUUGUAGGCUGCAACUCGCCUACAUGAAGUUGGAGUUGCUAGUAAUCGCGAAUCAGAAUGUCGCGGUGAAUACGUUCCCGGGUCUUGUACACACCG